UACGGGGGGGGUAAGCGUUGUUCGGAAUUACUGGGCGUAAAGGGCUCGUAGGCGGCCAACUAAGUCAGACGUGAAAUCCCUCAGCUUAACUGGGGAACUGCGUCUGAUACUGGAUGGCUUGGAUUCGGGAGAGGAAUGCGGAAUUCCAGGUGUAGCGGUGGAAUGCGCAGAUAUCAGGAGGAACACCGGUGGCGAAGGCGGUUCUCUGGGCAUUACCUGACGCUGAGGAGCGAAAGCAUGGGGAGCGAACAGG
rnacentral:rRNA from 1 species